rnacentral:lncRNA from 1 species
GCUGGUGGCCGUGCCGGCCCAAGCCGCCUCCGCUCGCUGCUGUGAAACGCUCAUGCCCUUCGGGUGGGGCCCCCGCCAGCUCCCCCGGAAGCGGCUGCUCGGCCUCGCCCCGCCUGCGGAGCGGGACCCGUCGGGCGUCCCGGCCUCGGGGAAGGUCCGCAGGACAAACAGGGAACCAGGCGAGGUUCCCUGAACUGGGCGAGGAGGGGCCUCCGGCAGCGAUGGCCCCGGCGCCCAGGCCUGUAAGUGUGCAGACAGCGGGCUCUCAGCAUCCUGCAAUUCUCCUCAAGGUGAGACCUUCCCAGCCCCCGGCCCCAGCCCACGUGUGGACCCCUGGUUACCCCCAUGCUCCGGUGUUGCCCAGUGCAGGCCUGGAGCAGCCAGGGAGCCACAGGGACCUGAAACAACACGCGUCUGUGUGUGACUCAGCCGGGGCUUCCCCGCAGCCUCUGGGCGCAGGAAGUUUACCUGGGAGGGGAGGCUGGAGAGGAGCCGGGGGGGAGAGGCAGGGGGCUGCAGACCCCGGGAGACCUGCCCAGCCGCUGGACAGUAUGGGCAGCUCUGGGGCCAGGACGAGGAGUCUGAGUGCAGGCAGGAGCUCCUUCUGCAGCCCAGCAAAUCCUCCACUGGUCUGGGUAAUCAGAGGGGGCGCCUGCCCGCGGGGCUCACAGUGGCGUCCGUCCAGACUGUGCCUGCAGCCACCUCAACAGCCUUCAGGUCAGAUGGGCCACCUCUUCUGAUUGAGGCAACAGGAGGGUGAGCUGAUAGGUCCUCACCCCACGCUUGGCAAAUGCCAAGGGCCCGUCCCUGCAAACAAAGAACCAAGGUCAGUGGGUCAGGGAGGGAGGAAGAGCCUCCCUGAAACUGCCCCAGCUCCGCCCCUGGAUAGUGGGGGGCCAGGUCCACAAAGCUCCCGCCCCCGAAAAGACAGAGGUAACCGGCUCCCGGGAAGCAAGCGGCUGCCUGCCUGCCGGGGGCACAGAGGAGCUGCUGCCGGCUUGGCCUGGCGGGUCCGCACCUGAUGGGUCAGUAAUCCGGAGGGUGAGCCCCCUUCGUCUGUUCCUCAGAGAACAGGGCCACCCUUUCUGGCUUCACGGUAGCAGGAAGGAGUUCUGGGCCAGGUCUGGAUUGACAGCAGCUGCCUGGGGGUUAGGUUGAAGGCAGAACACUGAUUUCAGGCCAGGUCCUCUCUGCCGAGGAGGCAGUAGAAUUUUCUGGAAGCUUCUGAAUGCAGGUCCCAGGCCGGCUCUGCAGGCCGAAGAGUGCUGGGCACCCGGAGCUGGGACGCAGGUGGGCUGCCGUGGGGCACAGCCAGGGCAUUCUCUGCAGCAGCCGGCUGUUAGGGGGAAGCCGAACCAAAGGGGGGGGGUUCCUGGGCCCCGGGCCUGGGCCCUGCUCCUGGGUCCUCCCCAGGUGGGCUCUGGGGCCUCCGCUGAGCCCCCAGGUCAGGGUCAGGGCGUGGCAUCCUGUGCAAAGAGCUGGGGGUCCUAACUGCGAGGCGCCCCCGCCCCCGCAUGGGCCCAGCCAGCUGGACACCAUCAGGCUCCCUGCCCGCGUCUCCCGAGCCCAGCUGCAGGUGCGCACGAGCAGACCCAGGUGGGCGAGAAGCCCAGCCUCGCUUGCUGCCUCUGAACCACCAGCCCUCACGUGGUGACGUGGCUCCGGGCGAAGCGUGGGAGGCGCCACGGGAAGCUGCCAGGAGAGGGGUCUUGCAGACUCCCGGCUGCCCGCAGCACACAG